GACGAACGCUGGCGGCGUGCUUAACACAUGCAAGUCGAACGGAAAGGCCCUGCUUUUGUGGGGUGCUCGAGGGGCGAACGGGUGAGUAACACGUGAGUAACCUGCCCUUGACUUUGGGAUAACUUCAGGAAACUGGGGCUAAUACCGGAUAGGAGCUCCUGCUGCAUGGUGGGGGUUGGAAAGUUUCGGCGGUUUGGGAUGGACUCGCGGCUUAUCAGCUUGUUGGUGGGGUAGUGGCUUACCAAGGCUUUGACGGGUAGCCGGCCUGAGAGCGUGACCGGCCACCUUGGGCCUGAGAUACGGCCCAGACUCGUACGGGAGGCAGCAGUGGGGAAUAUUGCACAGUGGGCGGAAGCCUGAUGCAGCGACGCCGCGUGCGGGAUGACGGCCUUCGGGUUGUAAACCGCUUUCGCCUGUGACGAAGCGUGAGUGACGGUAAUGGGUAAAGAAGCACCGGCUAACUACGUG
rnacentral:rRNA from 1 species